rnacentral:rRNA from 1 species
AGUGCGGCGUGCUAAUACAUGCAAGUCGAGCGGACAGAUGGGAGCUUGCUCCCUGAUGUUAGCGGCGGACGGGUGAGUAACACGUGGGUAACCUGCCUGUAAGACUGGGAUAACUCCGGGAAACCGGGGCUAAUACCGGAUGGUUGUUUGAACCGCAUGGUUCAGACAUAAAAGGUGGCUUCGGCUACCACUUACAGAUGGACCCGCGGCGCAUUAGCUAGUUGGUGAGGUAACGGCUCACCAAGGCGACGAUGCGUAGCCGACCUGAGAGGGUGAUCGGCCACACUGGGACUGAGACACGGCCCAGACUCCUACGGGAGGCAGCAGUAGGGAAUCUUCCGCAAUGGACGAAAGUCUGACGGAGCAACGCCGCGUGAGUGAUGAAGGUUUUCGGAUCGUAAAGCUCUGUUGUUAGGGAAGAACAAGUGCCGUUCAAAUAGGGCGGCACCUUGACGGUACCUAACCAGAAAGCCACGGCUAACUACGUGCCAGCAGCCGCGGUAAUACGUAGGUGGCAAGCGUUGUCCGGAAUUAUUGGGCGUAAAGGGCUCGCAGGCGGUUUCUUAAGUCUGAUGUGAAAGCCCCCGGCUCAACCGGGGAGGGUCAUUGGAAACUGGGGAACUUGAGUGCAGAAGAGGAGAGUGGAAUUCCACGUGUAGCGGUGAAAUGCGUAGAGAUGUGGAGGAACACCAGUGGCGAAGGCGACUCUCUGGUCUGUAACUGACGCUGAGGAGCGAAAGCGUGGGGAGCGAACAGGAUUAGAUACCUGGGUA